CCUACGGGAGGCAGCAGUGGGGAAUAUUGGGCAAUGGAGGAAACUCUGACCCAGCAACGCCGCGUGAAUGAUGAAGGUCUUCGGAUUGUAAAGUUCUUUUCUAAGGGGAGAAGAAACUGACGGUACCUUAGGAAUAAGCCUCGGCUAACUACGUGCCAGCAGCCGCGGUAAUACGUAGGCGGCGAGCGUUAUCCGGAAGGACUGGGAGUAAGGGGGGCGUAGGUGGUUUGGCAAGUUAGUAGCGAAACUCCAAGGGUCAACCUUGGAACGACUACUAAAACUGGUGGACGUGAGUGCAGGAGGGGCAACCGGAAUGCCUAGUGUAGCGGUGGAAUGCGUAGAUAUUAGGAGGAACACCAGUGGCGAAGGCGGGUUGCUAGACUGUAACUGACACUGAGGCACGAAAGCGUGGGGAGCAAACAGGAUUAGAUACCCCGGUAGUC
rnacentral:rRNA from 1 species